UUCCAGACUCCUACGGGAGGCAGCAGUGGAGAAUAUUGCACAAUGGGGGAAACCCUGAUGCAGCGACGCCGCGUGAGUGAAGAAGUAAUUCGUUAUGUAAAGCUCUAUCAGCAGGGAAGAAAAUGACGGUACCUGAGUAAGAAGCCCCGGCUAACUACGUGCCAGCAGCCGCGGUAAUACGUAGGGGGCAAGCGUUAUCCGGAUUUACUGGGUGUAAAGGGAGCGUAGACGGCAGAGCAAGUCUGAAGUGAAAGCCCGUGGCCCAACUGCGGGACUGCUUUGGAAACUGCCCGGCUAGAGUGCUGGAGAGGUAAGCGGAAUUCCUAGUGUAGCGGUGAAAUGCGUAGAUAUUAGGAGGAACACCAGUGGCGAAGGCGGCUUACUGGACAGUAACUGACGUUGAGGCUCGAAAGCGUGGGGAGCAAACAGGAUUAGAUACCCGCGUAC
rnacentral:rRNA from 1 species